rnacentral:tRNA from 1 species
GGGGAUUUAGCUCAGCGGCAUAAGCGCCUGCCUUGCAAGCAGGUAGUGCUGAGUUUGAUCCCCU